AUUCCAUUUCCUGCGGUGGUUUGGGGAGUGACUGGUGAGAAGCCUCUGGAAGGAAAAGCCUCAUUAUGGCUUCAGUGUGAGUUGGAAGACUUGACGUGAAGGAUGGGAGAGAGGAGAAAAGACGUGGAGUGAGGAGACAUGAGCUAUAAACAACAGGAAUUGGACACAUCAUCGAGGCCAGCUGAUAGUCCCCUGCCCCCCCAACCACCCCCACCCACCAACCCGCUCAGAGGCCCCUCCUGCUCCCUGCACUGAGCCCCCAGACAUUCACUGAAGGACUAAACAGGAAUCCCCCAUAGCACCACGGCAGACUGACUGACUCUGCAUGGUCUACAUCACACACACACACACACACAGAAAUACACAUACACCAUCAGGGACUGCAAUACACUCAUGCAUUCACACACAGGCUUGCAGACAGUACAGAAAUAGCCCCAGCCUGUGGUAUUACCAUGCACUCUAUCUGCCCAAAAACAUCACCUCAAACACCUAUAUCACACUGCAGCGCCUUACGGCUUCACCAUAUGCGGUGAGUGAUAAAGAAAAACAACAAGACCUCUUUGAUUUUCCUGUUGAUAUAUUUGCCACUUGUGUUUAAUUCACCUUUUAACUUUGCUUUGAACUAAUUUGUCUCAUGUGUCUCAUGAGUGUCUUUCACUCUCUCUCUCUCACACGCACGUACACCAACACACGAAUCUAUAGGGUGAUGCACACAGUGGUUCCUGAGAGCUCUCCCACAUUUCACGGCGACAUAGGGUGAUGCACAGACAUUGCAGUGACUGAUGAAAGGAAAGGUCAGGAGUUCCUCAGCCUCUAGUUCCUGACAUUGCAUCACCUCCCACAGCAGAGUAGACGAGCUUUGCUUCCCAUCAGUGUUUAGUGAAGCACCUCAACAACAAGGAGGGGCUUUCUUCCACCCUUUCCCCUCAACAUUUGCAUGGCACUCACUUUUAGGGUUUUCCCACAAACACAGAAUACCACAUAAACUCACACACAUUUGAAAUGUAUGGUCUUCAUGUAUAUCACUAUAUGUUCUCUCGAUGAUUGAGUGCAGACAGUGUCGUCUGGUUUAGGAAUCAAAACGCCAGCAGGACUAAGAUUAUAAAAAGGGAGCCCGAAACUCUAGCUAAUAACUGAGACCUCUGCUGUAUCCUUGUGCUCUAUCCCGUUGAGUUUUUCUGAGAAUGUGGCCAUUUUCAGUCUCUGAAAUUCCACCCAGAACUCUCUUCAUUGGAUCCAGUACAGUUUUAACUAAACUUUAAAAAGCUUUUGACGACCGUAUCUAGAUUCUACUGUAGAUUUUAAUCUACAGUUAUUUGAUAAUUACUGUAAACCCCAGGCCUAAAGACUUUGCUAAAUCUGAAUAUCUAAUCUGAACAUCUUCGGUCAGUUUUGCUUCAGUGGGUACAGCGUGGUAAGUCAUUUCAUUCCUUACCAAACGUGCUGAAAACGUCCUUCACCCAGAGGAUGAUUCAGUGGUUUUGAUCAGUACGCAUCUACUCGAGCAUUAAAGAGUCAUGUCAGCAGCAGUGAAACUGCUGUGUUCAGUUGAUAGAGGAUGGUGAUUACAAAAAGACUUGAUGGCAUCAUCAGAGGUGUGCAGCAAACAAAGACGAGCUUUGAAAUUCAAGGAAAUUCUGGGAACAGUUUGAGAAAUGUGCUUACUUGCGCAAGCUGCUGAAUGGCAAACUGUUAUCUUCACACUUUGGCGCUUGAGCAAAUUAAACAAACGAAAUAUAACGUGUUAAAGUGAGUGAGCGUUAGAGGCGAUGGUGGGCAGAUUUUGGUCGGCAGAGCUAGUCUCGCCAUUUGCAGUCUUCAUGCUAAGCUAAGCUAACCCUCUCCGGCCUGUAGCUUCUUAUUUACUGUACAGUCAUGAGAGUGGCAGCGAUCUUCUCAUCUGACUCUCGACAAGAAAGCAAAAGCCUUGGCCUGUUCCAGAUAACAAUGACUUAGACGAAAUGAGUGGUGUGUCAGUGUUGCUGCCACUUCAGGCUGACAUUCAGUUCAGCACGAGGCUCUGGACAGAUUUGCUUUGUCAUGAUGACUGCUCGGGACACACGAUCCCCUCCGCAGCAAACACCCUGCUGGUUUCUGUAUCAGGUAAAGCUUGCUGUCAGGAAUGCCGUCUAUUUCCAGUUGACCUGCCGUGACAGCUAGUUAUAUACCCAGGUUAUGCGAUUAGGGCUGCCAGAGCGGAGGAAGAGGAGGAGGGCGAGGAAGAUGAGUGUGGGGUUUCCUGGGAAGCUCCCAGCCAGACAUCUGCUGCCAUCACUCUAUCACCCUCCCACCAUCUCACUCCCACUCUGCCAUCAGGCUGUCUAUCUGCGAUUUGCCCUCUUUCUGUCUCAGAGAUGGCUCUUUGUGGCGAGCAGCAGCGCUCCACUGAAUAAUUCAAAGUGCCGUCAGGGACAGACAGUGGAUUAAGUCCCUGUAGAGGAGGAGGAGGUGGAGGGGGUAAAGAGAAGGGACAAGGGGGGAUUUUAGUCCAUUAAACAUGAGGACCUGAGGGGAAAUCCACUGAGCAGUGGUGAGCAGCAGUGUUAAACCAGUAGGGUGUCGAUGGAAUGGAAAGAUGGGGUACUGUCUGUAGUGAAAGAGAAAGGGAGGAGAAAGAGAGCGAAAGAGCAAGCAGGCACCAUGUCACAUGACCACCGGGAGAAUCCCUGAGCAGAGCUGGUCACCUGACCGACUGGAAACGCACCCUGCUGUCUGAGAGCGAUUCCCAGAAGUUACGUGUGUGUGUGUGAAAUCAUGCCUUGUCCUUGAUACAGAUUACAGCAGCGAGAAUAUGUGUGACAUAAAUACUAUACAUAGUGGGACAGGUGUCUCUUUCACAUUCAAAAAUUAUAGUUCUACUCAGACUGAAAAACAUUCACCUUGUUAUCUAACACACGUUCAGACAACCGUGACAGUAGAAGUCCUUGUCCUUCAGCUGUCAGUCUGAGUUUAAGUGUUGGCAGCAGGGAUGAAAAGAGGAUUUUGGUGAAACAAAGCUGUGUGUUUAACAUCAGAGCUUGUGCAGUGCUGAGUUAGUGUGACUGAUCACAGUCUAAACUUAGGGUAAUUCUCCCUCUUCUUCUUCUGCUGCUGCUGCUGCUGCUGCUGGACUUUUGGCCCAGCUGUUUUACGCCCACUCAGUCACACACAAAUGCACAAUUUCACACACCAAGCCUCAUUUACAUAUCAGUGUGCUUGUCUUUCAGAAACUCGGGGGGGAUUUGAUCAGUUGUCUUUCUGAGAAAAAUGAUUUCUAAUUAAUGCCAAAUCCAAUGAAAUGAGCUCCAAGCUGGAGCGUAUUGUUUUACCAGACUACUUCUCUCGAGUGGUGUUGUGUUGUUUUGGAGACUUGAGACCACUGUGGUAAGUGACUAACCAUCCGGUGGUGUGGUGUGUGUGGGAUCAAGAGAGUUUGAUCAGUCCAUUUUCAAGGGUGUUUGUAGUAUUUUGUGGUCUAAGACUUUUUACCUUGUUGGUUUUAAAGCAGGUCUGAUUGUUCUUACUCUCACAUUUUAAUUGUAAAAACCCCCCAAAAGUCCAAAGAUGCCAGAUUCAUAGUGAGAUUAAGAAAGCAUUAUUGAGCAAAACAUGACACUGAUAAUGAUUGGAACGCUAUAACUUAGUACAGCUAUAUUUGCAGUGUGGUUUUGACAAUGAUGAUAUCAAGUUUUGCUAUCUGUAAGUGUAUAGUUGAAAAAAUAAAACUGUAAUGUUAAAAUACACGAGAGACAAGCAACACUGCACCGUGCAGCCGAGACACUGUGCAACCGCAGUUUAAAAACACAACAGAAAAUGGCUGCAAGAUAAAAAAUUUUCGCUGAGAUUUAGAUUUAGCUCACUAAGAAUCUUUUUAUUUAACAAAAAAAAAAAAAAAUUAUAAUAAUAAUAAUCUUCAGUCAAGGUUGGUUGUGGCAGGCUCCACCAGCAACAUCAUCGUGGGCCAUCCCGCUUUUUCACACAAAUUAAAAUGGGGAGUAAGACAUUAGUAAUAGGGCUUUGAAGGUUAUACAGAGAAUUUUACUUCUGCUUAUUGGGAAGUUACAUGCUAAACAGAGAGUCUUGCUCAUGGCCAGUCCACACAGUUCAUGCUAAGGCUGGUCAAGCAUUCAAAGGCAUGUGCAUUCUGGGAGUGUGACUAAACAAACACAUUGCAACCAUAGCUGCACAGCUCGUUGAUGGACUUUAUGGCCCUUCUCUGAGCGCAGCGCCUUCAGGCUUUGUAGAGCGGGAGGAAAAAUGCACUAGGCAUGAAAAGACGGUAAAUACUUUCCAUGCGCGCACGUUGGUUUGUGUUCCCUGGAGGACGUCCGCAAGUUUAUACGUCCCCGGUGGGAAUCUGGUGUUUGCUUUAGUUCCGGGUGGGUUGCGCUCUGGGUUUGUGGGUCGGUGUUUUCAGGCCAGGAGCUCCAGAAACAGGACCGGGCAAAACUCCGCUGUAGCUGUUGUUGUUCUCACCUCCAGAAUGUUUCUGUAAAGGGAUGAGAGUUAUGAAAAAAAAAAAGUCUCCUGAUUCUAGGUAAGUGUAGGUGAGGUAAAUGUGCUUUGAGGUUUUACUGAAAUACACGUAACCAGUGUCGGUUUCAAAGCACCCACUCUUGUUUCAGAGCAUCAAUAAUGAAGAGUGGCUCCACAGAUGCAAACCUCUAAAAACAUUGGCCUGCUAUGAACAAAUGUGGGCCAGCAAUGAGUAUAAUAAAAAACAGAGCAGCUCUGUUGUAUCCAUAAUCAAUCAGACAGACAUCUGGCAGUGAUUCAUUUUAUUAAACUGCAGUGUAUUAUACCUGCUUUCCUCCGUCUCUGUCUCCUCCUCCAUCUUCCUUCAUCUCUCUCCCUCUUCCUCUCCCUCCAACAUAAUUGAAGUGCUUCUCUUCUCCUAUGUAACCCGAUGCUUGUCCCACAGCACUAAAGUGUCAUUUGGGCCGCAGCUCAAGUACUCUGUGUGCUCUGUGCUGCGCUCUAACUCCUGCAGAUCAGCAGAAGCCCAGAUUAGACAAAUGAAUAAUUCAGUUUAUUGCUUUAAAUGCAGUUUGUGGUAAAAGACCGUUAUAAAUCCUCUUAGACUUCUGACCCUGUUCGUUUCAGUGCUAUGACCUGAGGAUUGUGCUGUGACCAACACACUGCGGUGGUUUAAAGCGUGUGCCAGCGCAAAGUACUAAGCUGAUCGUUCUUUCUUAUUUUUCUUUCUCCUCUCUGUGUGUCAGGUUCUCUCCCUUUUAAGGUUAAGUUCUAGGAACCAACGAGGUGAUGAUUCUUAAAUGUUCCUUGCACGACUCAAGGACAAGUGAGCACAUCAAGAGCUGCAAAGCAGGAUUUCUUUGUGUGUGUGUGUGUGUGUAUAGGUGUGAUUUAUGUCCAUGAUAUUGACAGUCCUGUAUAAAAAAUGGUAGAAAAACGUAUUGAGUUUGGCAGAGCAGAUGCAGCAAAUGACCAAAUAUGAAAAUUGUCUGCUUUUUCCCUCUGAUCCAUCUAUGUGAUAAUGGAUGUCAGCAUAUUAAAGUGAAUCAGAAGAGGUUGUUGUCAGCCAUCAUUCAUCCAUUAUUGAUCUUUUACUUAAAGCUCCAGGCAGCUGAUGUUUAGCAGGGAUGAUAUUAAAGUAAUGGGUCAAUGUUGCUCAAGUGGAUAAGUAUGUUAAUGUGGUUUUUUUUCUGUGUGUGUGUAUUAGUUGUUUUCACAGUGUGUGUGUCUGCUGAUACAUCUAUUGGGGGUGAGAUUAACCUGAUGAUCUCAUACUGUGGGUGAUGCAGUCUUACAACAGGUCUGCUCACAGGCCUCUGACAAGGUGAACGCUCUACAGUUUCCAAAGCGCAAAGUUGACAGAUGCUCAUGCCAAAGGGGGAAUUCGCCCACACAGCGGACAACCUGGAACCUCAGCCUUACCUGGUCCUGACAGGCUACAAUGUGAGGUCUCCCACACCCACAGAAGGUGUCGAGGUAUACGAGGCUGCGCUAAGGAGAGUUUUACUCCUAUGGGCCCCCUGAGGCCCUGAGGCCUGGUCCAAGAGAAAGACCAGAAGCUGUUUCAACUUCCUCUACUGUUGUUUUGUAUGGAACACAACUUCAAACACUGUACGUCAGAGCACGCAGCCGACCACAGCUACACACACACACACACGCACGUAUUACAUGUUUCUCUCUUAUUUUCUUAAGUUUACCCACAAAACUAAACACUUUUUCUGCAGGACGUUCUAAAAUAAAGACACGAAUAUGCUCUAUUUUAGUCGUCUGUGGGAAGAGGAGAGGGUUUGGACAGAAAUUUGUUACAAUAGCUGGAAAUGAAGCUGUUUUAUAUGAUUGAAAUAUAAUUCUGUAGUGAAGUGUUUGGAUUGUGAAAGUGGGUUCUAGUGCGUGUGUGCCGGGCAGGGCUAUUGUCCGUUGUUAUGUUACCAGUGUCUCAUCUCCCAGUGGUGCAAAAAGUGUCGAGAUACUUUAUUACUUUUGGUACUAACUGUCGUGAAAGCAAAAUAUAAUAUUACAAGCUUUACAGAGGAGAGAAUUGAAUGUAAUGUUAGAUAAUGAUAUAUAAGCAACAUUUCAGUGUUGUGUCUGGUCCUGGUGACACUAUAACUUUGUAUACUGCUCAGUAUUUCAACCCAUGAAUGUGCACCCUAUUUAAUAAAACAAUCGUGUUUUCCAUGUGGAUUUUAAUUGUAACUAUAGGUGUCAGUUC